UCGAGCGGACAGAAGGGAGCUUGCUCCCGGAUGUUAGCGGCGGACGGGUGAGUAACACGUGGGUAACCUGCCUGUAAGACUGGGAUAACUCCGGGAAACCGGAGCUAAUACCGGAUAGUUCCUUGAACCGCAUGGUUCAAGGAUGAAAGACGGUUUCGGCUGUCACUUACAGAUGGACCCGCGGCGCAUUAGCUAGUUGGUGGGGUAAUGGCUCACCAAGGCGACGAUGCGUAGCCGACCUGAGAGGGUGAUCGGCCACACUGGGACUGAGACACGGCCCAGACUCCUACGGGAGGCAGCAGUAGGGAAUCUUCCGCAAUGGACGAAAGUCUGACGGAGCAACGCCGCGUGAGUGAUGAAGGUUUUCGGAUCGUAAAGCUCUGUUGUUAGGGAAGAACAAGUGCGAGAGUAACUGCUCGCACCUUGACGGUACCUAACCAGAAAGCCACGGCUAACUACGUGCCAGCAGCCGCGGUAAUACGUAGGUGGCAAGCGUUGUCCGGAAUUAUUGGGCGUAAAGGGCUCGCAGGCGGUUUCUUAAGUCUGAUGUGAAAGCCCCCGGCUCAACCGGGGAGGGUCAUUGGAAACUGGGAAACUUGAGUGCAGAAGAGGAGAGUGGAAUUCCACGUGUAGCGGUGAAAUGCGUAGAGAUGUGGAGGAACACCAGUGGCGAAGGCGACUCUCUGGUCUGUAACUGACGCUGAGGAGCGAAAGCGUGGGGGAGCGAACAGGAUUAGAUACCCUGGUAGUCCACGCCGUAAACGAUGAGUGCUAAGUGUUACGGGGUUUCCGCCCCUUAGUGCUGCAGCU
rnacentral:rRNA from 1 species